AUACUUACCUGCCAGGAGAGCUACCAUGAUCAUGAAGAUAGUUUUCCCAGGGCAAGGCUUAUCCAUGGCACUAUGGAUGUAUUGUCUCCUGCGAGUUCCCCUAAUGUGAGAAAAUCAACUGCAUAAUUUGUAAUAGUGGGGGACUGUGUUCUUUCAUGCAUGAA